UAGCGAUAUUAACAAAACAACUAUUGCUGCCAACGUAAUUUGUAUUUGAAACUAUUGUUGUGAAGUCAUGUUCUGCAACAGAAUACAUUGUGUGAACAUACACUCAAAUAUAUUACGCACUUAAUUUACAGUUAUCUAGAGCAAUGGAUCCAACACUCAUUGAAGAAAGUACUUCAAAGACUAUUCCAUACAACCUUGAAGUCCUUGUGAAAUCUCUGGAACAAUCUGAAGAAAGUAUUUCGUCUACAAACGCAAUUGAUUUAAUUGCUGCUUUGCUGUAUGUCUUAAUGAUGGAAACAGGAUAUUCGCCUCUUGGUACAGGAAGCAAUUCAAUUUCCAGCAGUGAUUAUGGGUUCAAUAUUCAUAAACUGAACUUUUUCUGCAGUAUGCCAGCCAAAUGGAAAAACAUCCAACAAAACAGUUAUGAGAUGUCGUUUAUCCUCGGGAGGUUCACUCAUUAUCCGUGCAGACUCCUUAUAAUACCAGUAGAUGAUGUUCUUAUAAUUAAUUUACUCAUUACAAACUUGAUCCAAGAAAGGAACAGAUAUACCAUGGGAAUUCAACCUUCAAAAUAUGUUGUCAAUCCAACAUCCACCUGUAUUCCAACAAAGUUCAGACAUUUGAAAGAUCUUUCCCUGAAGUUUAAAAACAUUUUGUCACAUCCUGCUCGAAGCGUCAUUUUGACAAAGGAAGGUAUACUGAAUGCCAGUCUCUUAGGUAUUCCAGAUGAAGUUAAGAUCAAAAUAUUUAAAUAUUUAAAAGUAUCAGACUUGUUAAAAGUAUCGUUAGUCUGUAAAUAUUUGUGUUGGGUGUCUGAAGAUCAAGGUCUAUGGAAGUAUUUCCUUGUAAGAGAUUUGAGAUAUGUAGAUGUGGCAGAUCUUAUAAAUCAACCAGGUGUGAGUAGUGUUACCUCUUGGAAGAAUAAGUACAAAAGCAAAUGUAGAUGGCGUUCUGCUAUACCUGUUCGGAUUUUCUGAGUGAUAUGUAAUUUUGUUCUACAGAACUAAUAGUCUCUUAACGUGCCCCCAGUUGGGCAGAAUGUAACAUCGUAUCAAUUCCAAAAAACUAGGAACAUAAAACUGAAAGGUACAAUGGGGUUAUUUAUAGGCAUAUCAACAAAGCUGCUACAAUGUUCAUUUGUCCAAGGUUGUAAGUUCUGAUGGACAUGUCGCUUAAUUAAUUGCAAGCUUCAUGAGUGAGGCUUCAGGUUCAGUUUACAUGUUUUGAGAUGGAUGAGAUCUUUGUGUUGUCAAUACAGAAAUCUGUGAUCCACAUGAAAAGACGUGGAAUGACAGGGUACACAAUGUGACAUGUGGAGAUUGCAGGGUUUUGAAGAAAGACCGUUGUAAUCUUCAGGACUCAGUAUCUGUCUGCAAGUCCACAUGGUAUCACACCUCACAACAAGAUCAAAAUCUUCACAGCUGUGAGAACGUCUAUUGCGGAGUCUACAUAAAUAAAGUGUAUUUAUAUAUUUUUAAUAUAUAUACACACAAAAAUGUGAUUAUAAAAUUUAGACAUGAACUUAAAGCUGAAGUACUAGUUUUUGUUAAAUUAUAUAUAAUAUGAAAUAUACAGUUGCAAACAUAUUCAUCUGUAAUUUUUGGAUUUAUGUAUGCCUGUACCCUGACACCGGCAGUAUACCAAAAUAUGUGUCUGAUUAAUAAAGAACAUGUGAGAUUAAACGGCAGUGGGAGUGAG